CAUGACUGUCACCUCGCCAGGACCGGACCCACAGCUGACCCCAGUAUGGAGGAUGAGAAAGGACAAGUACUCUAAAACACCAACCUGAGUGCAGGGCUGGGGGUCUCCUUUCAACUUUACUCGGAAAAUCUUCCAGAUGAAGAAACCAAGCGUAAGUCACCUUUUCAGGGAACUGGACCUGCAC